CAUAAUGGCAAAUCCAUUCGAAAGAAGGAGACGCAAAGCCACGGGUCUAAAGCGAUUACGGAUCGCUAUGACAGCCGGGCUGC
rnacentral:ncRNA from 1 species